rnacentral:rRNA from 1 species
CCUACGGGAGACAGCAGUAGGGAAUCUUCCACAAUGGGCGAAAGCCUGAUGGAGCAACGCCGCGUGGGUGAAGAAGGUCUUCGGAUUGUAAAACUCUGUUGUUAGAGAAGAAAGUGCGUGAGAGUAACUGUUCACGUUUCGACGGUAUCUAACCAGAAAGCCACGGCCAACUACGUGCCAGCAGCCGCGGUAAUACGUAGGGGGCAAGCGUUAUCCGGAUUUAUUGGGCGUAAAGGGAACGCAGGGGGUCUUUUAAGUCUGAUGUGAAAGCCUUCGGCUUAACCGGAGGAGUGCAUUGGAAACUGGAAGACUUGAGUGCAGAAGAGGAGAGUGGAACUCCAUGUGUAGCGGUGAAAUGCGUAGAUAUAUGGAAGAACACCAGUGGCGAAAGCGGCUCUCUGGUCUGUAACUGACACUGAGGUUCGAAAGCGUGGGUAGCAAACAGGAUUAGAUACCCGGGUAGUC